AUGGAAUGAGUACACUCUAAAUCCUUUAACGAGGAUCAAUUGGAGGGCAAGUCUGGUGCCAGCAGCCGCGGUAAUUCCAGCUCCAAUAGCGUAUGCUAAAGCUGCUGCGGUUAAAAAGCUCGUAGUUGGAUCUCAGUUGCGGGCGGGUGGUGCAUCUACCCGAUGUGACAGCCCGAGCUGAACAUCUUGCCUUCUAUCCUCUGGUGUCCUUCACUGGAUGCCUUUGGGUGGUCGGUGCAUUUACUUUGAAAAAAUUGGAGUGCUCAACGCAGGCGAAGUGCCUGAACACUUAUGCAUGGAAUAAUAGAACAAGACCCCGUUUCUGUUCUGUUGGUUUUUGGAAAACGAGGUAAUGAUCAAGAGGGACGGACGGGGGCAUUCGUAUUGCGGCGCUAGAGGUGAAAUUCUUGGACCGUCGCAAGACGAACUACAGCGAAAGCAUUUGCCAAGAAUGUUUUCAUUGAUCAAGAACGAAAGUUAGAGGUUCGAAGGCGAUCAGAUACCGCCCUAGUUCUAACCAUAAACGAUGCCAACCAGCAUUCCGCCUGAGUUACUCCAAUGACUCUGCGGGCAGCCUCCGGGAAACCAAAGUAUUUGGGUUCCGGGGGAAGUAUGGUUGCAAAGCUGAAACUUAAAGGAAUUGACGGAAGGGCACCACCAGGAGUGGAGCCUGCGGCUCAAUUUGACUCAACACGGGAAAACUUACCCGGCCCGGACACUGGGAGGAUUGACAGAUUGAGAGCUCUUUCUUGAUCGG
rnacentral:rRNA from 1 species